UACGGCGGGUGCAAGCGUUAAUCGGCAUUACUGGGCGUAAGGCGCACGCAGGUGGCUGAGUCAGUCGGAUGUGAAAGCCCUGGGCUUAACCUGGGAAUUGCAUUCGAUACUACUCGGCUAGAGUAUGGGAGAGGGAAGUGGAAUUCCCGGUGUAGCGGUGAAAUGCGUAGAUAUCUGGAGGAACACCGGUGGCGAAGGCGGCAUCCUGGACCGAGAUUGACGCUGAGGCGCGAAAGCCAGGGGAGCAAACGGG
rnacentral:rRNA from 1 species